rnacentral:rRNA from 1 species
UUAGCCUACGGGAGGCAGCAGUGGGGAAUAUUGCACAAUGGGGGAAACCCUGAUGCAGCGAUGCCGCGUGGAGGAAGAAGGUUUUCGGAUUGUAAACUCCUUUUAUCAGGGACGAUAAUGACGGUACCUGAAGAAAAAGCUCCGGCUAACUACGUGCCAGCAGCCGCGGUAAUACGUAGGGAGCGAGCGUUGUCCGGAAUUACUGGGUGUAAAGGGUGCGUAGGCGGGCUGUUAAGUCAGCGGUCAAAUGUCGGGGCUCAACCCCGGCCUGCCGUUGAAACUGGCGGCCUCGAGUGGGCGAGAAG